UACGUAGGGGGCUAGCGUUGUCCGGAAUCAUUGGGCGUAAAGCGCGUGUAGGCGGUCCGGUAAGUCCGCUGUGAAAGUCGGGGGCUCAACCCUCGAAUGCCGGUGGAUACUGUCGGGCUAGAGUGCGGAAGAGGCGAGUGGAAUUCCUGGUGUAGCGGUGAAAUGCGCAGAUAUCAGGAGGAACACCUGAGGUGAAGACGGGUUGCUGGGCUGACACUGACGCUGAAGCGCGAAAGCUAGGGGAGCAAACGGG
rnacentral:rRNA from 1 species